rnacentral:rRNA from 1 species
CUUACACAUGCAAGUCGAACGGUGAAGAGAAGCUUGCUUCUUGGAUCAGUGGCGAACGGGUGAGUAACACGUGAGCAAUCUGCCCUUGACUCUGGGAUAAGCGUUGGAAACGACGUCUAAUACCGGAUACGACCCUCGGAGGCAUCUCCUGGGGGUGGAAAGAAUUUUGGUCAAGGAUGAGCUCGCGGCCUAUCAGCUAGUUGGUGAGGUAAUGGCUCACCAAGGCGACGACGGGUAGCCGGCCUGAGAGGGUGACCGGCCACACUGGGACUGAGACACGGCCCAGACUCCUACGGGAGGCAGCAGUGGGGAAUAUUGCACAAUGGGCGAAAGCCUGAUGCAGCAACGCCGCGUGAGGGACGAAGGCCUUCGGGUUGUAAACCUCUUUUAGUAGGGAAGAAGCGAAAGUGACGGUACCUGCAGAAAAAGCACCGGCUAACUACGUGCCAGCAGCCGCGGUAAUACGUAGGGUGCAAGCGUUGUCCGGAAUUAUUGGGCGUAAAGAGCUCGUAGGCGGUUUGUCGCGUCUGCUGUGAAAACCCGAGGCUCAACCUCGGGCCUGCAGUGGGUACGGGCAGACUAGAGUGCGGUAGGGGAGAUUGGAAUUCCUGGUGUAGCGGUGGAAUGCGCAGAUAUCAGGAGGAACACCAAUGGCGAAGGCAGAUCUCUGGGCCGUAACUGACGCUGAGGAGCGAAAGCAUGGGGAGCGAACAGGAUUAGAUACCCUGGUAGUCCAUGCCGUAAACGUUGGGAACUAGAUGUGGGGACCAUUCCACGGUCUCCGUGUCGCAGCUAACGCAUUAAGUUCCCCGCCUGGGGAGUACGGCCGCAAGGCUAAAACUCAAAGGAAUUGACGGGGGCCCGCACAAGCGGCGGAGCAUGCGGAUUAAUUCGAUGCAACGCGAAGAACCUUACCAAGGCUUGACAUAUAGAGGAAACGGCUGGAAACAGUCGCCCCGCAAGGUCUCUAUACAGGUGGUGCAUGGUUGUCGUCAGCUCGUGUCGUGAGAUGUUGGGUUAAGUCCCGCAACGAGCGCAACCCUCGUCCUAUGUUGCCAGCACGUAAUGGUGGGAACUCAUGGGAUACUGCCGGGGUCAACUCGGAGGAAGGUGGGGAUGACGUCAAAUCAUCAUGCCCCUUAUGUCUUGGGCUUCACGCAUGCUACAAUGGCCGGUACAAAGGGCUGCAAUACCGUAAGGUGGAGCGAAUCCCAAAAAGCCGGUCUCAGUUCGGAUUGAGGUCUGCAACUCGACCUCAUGAAGUCGGAGUCGCUAGUAAUCGCAGAUCAGCAACGCUGCGGUGAAUACGUUCCCGGGCCUUGUACACACCGCCCGUCAAGUCAUGAAAGUCGGUAACACCCGAAGCCAGUGGCCUAACCGCAAGGAAGGAGC